rnacentral:rRNA from 1 species
UACGGAGGAGGCAAGCGUUAUCCGGAAUUAUUGGGCGUAAAGCGUCCGCAGGUGGCUAAUCAAGUCUGCCGUCAAAGACCGGGGCUUAACCCUGGAAAGGCGGCGGAAACUGAAUUGCUAGAGUGUCGUAGGGGUAGAGGGAAUUCCCGGUGUAGCGGUGAAAUGCGUAGAGCUCGGGAAGAACAUCGGUGGCGAAAGCGCUCUACUGGACGACAACUGACACUCAGGGACGAAAGCUAGGGGAGCGAAUGGG